AUUGAACGCUGGCGGAAUGCUUUACACAUGCAAGUCGAACGGCAGCACGGACUUCGGUCUGGUGGCGAGUGGCGAACGGGGGAGUAAUGUAUCGGAACGUGCCCAGUCGUGGGGGAUAACGUAGUGAAAAUUACGCUAAUACCGCAUCCGAUCUAUGGAUGAAAGCGGGGGAUCGCAAGACCUCGCGCGCUUGGACCGGCCGAUCUCCGAUUAGGGAGUUGGUGCGGUAAAGGCCCACCAAGCCAACGAUCUGUAGCUGGUCGGAGAGGACGACCAGCCACACUGGAACUAAGACACGGUCCAGACUCCUAAGGGAGGCAGCAGUGGGGAAUUUUGGACAAUGGGCGAAAGCCUGAUCCAGCCAUUCCGCGUGCAGGAUGAAGGCCCUCGGGUUGUAAACUGCUUUUGUACAGAACGAAAAGGUUUCUACUAAUACUAGGAGCUCAUGACGGUACUGUAAGAAUAAGCACCGGCUAACUACGUGCCAGCCGCCGCGGUAA
rnacentral:rRNA from 1 species